CAUUAUAUUAAUUAAUAGUAAUAUUUUAACUCCAUGUUGAUAAAGUCUAGAUUUCGGUUUUACAAAUGAGUUAACCAAAUAAAAAAGCAAGCAAGAAAAAUGGCUGCUCCAGCUCCAGCUCCCCAGCUAACAGUUAUCACUUUCCUGUUCCUCCUCUCCACCAUCAUCCAAUCCCAUCGUUCCACCUACACCACCAUCUCCGUCACCGACUUCGGAGCCAUCGGGGACGGCAAACACUACGACACAUGCGCCAUCCAAUCAGCGAUCGACAGCUGCCACGCCUACUCCACCACCUCCAAACCAUGCUAUGUAGCCUUCCCGUCAGGCACCUACCUAACAGCCACCAUCUUCCUCAGAUCCAACGUCUUUUUAAACAUCCCAGAAGGCUCCACCAUCUUGGGUGGGACCAAAUUGGAAGACUACCCAAAAGAUUCGGAUAAAUGGUAUGUGAUAUUGGCAGAGAAUGCUAGCGAUGUUGGGAUAACAGGUGGAGGGGUUGUGGAUGGGCAGGGAUUGAAGUUCGUGGUGAAGUUUAAUCCAAGGAAAAAUGUGAUGAUGAGUUGGAACCAGACCGGGGCUUGCUUAGGCGAUGAGUGUCGGCCGAGGUUGGUUGGUUUUCUUGACUCCACCAAUGUUAGAGUUUGGAAUGUUACCCUCAACCUGCCGGCUUAUUGGUGCUUGCACAUAGUUCGAUGUGAAAACACAUCAAUUCAUGAUGUUUCAAUAUAUGGAGAUUUUAAUACACCUAACAAUGAUGGAAUAGACAUAGAGGAUUCAAAUAAUACAGUGAUCACAAGAUGCCACAUUGAUACUGGAGAUGAUGCCCUAUGCCCGAAGACAUCCACUUCUCCCCUACAUAACUUAACAGCCACAGACUGCUGGAUUCGAACAAAAUCUUCCGCAAUUAAACUUGGAAGUGCCAGUUGGUUUGAGUUCAAGAAUAUGGUCUUUGACAACAUAACUAUUGUAGAUUCUCAUAGAGGGCUUGGAUUUCAGAUACGUGAUGGAGGAAAUGCAAGUGACAUUACUUUCUCGAACAUAAACAUCAGUACAAGAUACUAUGAUCUGUCAUGGUGGGGGAGGGCAGAGCCAAUUUACGUGACAACCUGCCCACGAGACUCAAACUCAGCAGAGGGUUCAAUCUCUAAUUUAAACUUCAUAAACAUCACUGCAAUUUCUGAAAAUGGUGUCUUCUUAUCAGGUUCCAAAGGUGGACUUCUAAGGAAUUUGAGAUUCAUUAACAUGAAUCUAACUUACAAAAAAUGGACAAAUUAUGUUGGCGGGUUGGUUGACUACAGGCCUGGAUGUCAGGGACUUGUGAAUCACAGCACAGCUGGGAUUAUCAUGGAACAUAUUGAUGGGUUGGAUGUUGAGAAUGUAAAUAUGAGAUGGUUCGAUGGACGAACAUUGCAAUGGGAUAAUCCUUUGGACUUCAGGCCUUUAACUGUGAAUAAUAUUUCUUUGCUUAACUUUCAUUCUGGUUUCUACAGACAGUGACAGAAAGAUUGGAGGCUAAUUCCCUUUGCUCAAUGUCAUUCUUUGAUGGAAAUAAGGCUGAACGUGUUUUAUAGCGUCUUGGAGGAGGUGAGGUAUGUGCUUGAUGAAAUGCCUGAGAGGAAUGUGGUUUCUUCACUUCUUGGACUGCUAUGAUUUCGGCUUAUUCUCAAAAAGGGUUUGCCUCUUAAGGCGUUGGAUUUUUUUUUUACAGAUGUCAAGGUAUUUUAUGCUAACAUGACUUUACAUGUAAUACGGUUUAGAUCGGAUUAAAUCCGAUUUACGUUUAAA